GGAGUUAGCCGGUGCUUCUUCUGUGAGUGAUGUCCUUCCUGCCGGCUAUUAACCCGCAGGCCUUCUUCCUCACUGAAAGUGCUUUACAACCCGAAGGCCUUCUUCACACACGCGGCAUGGCUGGAUCAGGGUUGCCCCCAUUGUCCAAUAUUCCCCACUGCUGCCUCCCGUAGGAGUCUGGGCCGUGUCUCAGUCCCAGUGUGGCUGAUCAUCCUCUCAGACCAGCUACGGAUCGUCGCCUUGGUGAGCCGUUACCUCACCAACCAGCUAAUCCGACAUAGGCUCAUCCGAUAGCGCGAGGCCCGAAGGUCCCCCGCUUUCCCCCGUAGGGCGUAUGCGGUAUUAGCCUGGGUUUCCCCAGGUUAUCCCCCACUACCGGGCAGAUUCCUAUGCAUUACUCACCCGUCCGCCGCUCGCCACCAGGGAGCAAGCUCCCCGUGCUGCCGCUCGACUUGCAUGUGUAGCNCGCCGCCAGCGUCAUCUGAGCCAGAAUACAACUACUGA
rnacentral:rRNA from 1 species